UACGGGGGGAGCAAGCGUUGUUCGGAUUUACUGGGCGUAAAGGGCGCGUAGGCGGCUUGCCAAGUCGGGGGGUGAAAUCCGGCAGCUUAACUGUCGAAGUGCCUUCGAUACUGCGAGCUCGAGGGAGGUAGGGGUCUGUGGAACUGCUGGUGGAGCGGUGAAAUGCGUUGAUAUCAGCAGGAACGCCGGUGGCGAAAGCGACGGACUGGACCUCUUCUGACGCUGAGGCGCGAAAGCUAGGGGGAGCAAACGGG
rnacentral:rRNA from 1 species